CCCUAUGGGGUGGCGGAGAAAAAGCCAUUGAAAAGCAGAAAGCCACUGGCAAAAUGACCGCACGCGAACGAAUCAUCGCUCUUCUCGAUCCCAAAUCGUUCCACGAGUACGACCUUUUUGUCGAACACGCCGGACGCGAUUUUGAUAUGAGCGAUAAAUACCUUCCAGGCGACGGGGUAAUUACCGGCACAGGUACUAUCAAUGGUUACCCGGUUUGCAUAUUUGCCCAGGAUUUUACUGUAGCAGGCGGCUCACUGGGAUACAUGCAUGCCAAGAAGAUUACCAAGAUCAUGGAUCACGCCAUGAAACUGAAAGUUCCCCUGAUUGGGAUCAACGAUUCAGGUGGAGCCCGAAUACAGGAAGGUGUUAACUCAUUGGCAGGUUAUGGUGAGAUUUUCUGGCGAAAUACUCAGGCAUCCGGGGUGAUACCCCAGAUCUCGGUUAUCCUUGGACCAUGCGCGGGAGAGC
rnacentral:rRNA from 1 species